AUUGAACGCUGGCGGCAUGCUUUACACAUGCAAGUCGAACGGUAACAGGCCGCAAGGUGCUGGCGAGUGGCGAACGGGUGAGUAAUGCAUCGGAACGGGCCCCGUCGUGGGGGAUAACUACUCGAAAGAGUAGCUAAAACCCCAUACGAUCUAUGGGUGGAAGCGGGGGGCCGUAAGGCCUCGCGCGAUUUGGGCGGCCGAUGUCAGAUUAGGUAGUUGGUGGGGUAAAGGCUUACCAAGCCAACGAUCUGUAGCUGGUCUGAGAGGACGACCAGCCACACUGGGACUGAGACACGGCCCAGACUCCUACGGGAGGCAGCAGUGGGGAAUUUUGGACAAUGGGCGCAAGCCUGAUCCAGCAAUGCCGCGUGCAGGAAGAAGGCCUUCGGGUUGUAAACUGCUUUUGUACGGAACGAAACGGCUCUGGUUAAUACCCGGGGCUAAUGACGGUACCGUAAGAAUAAGCACCGGCUAACUACGUG
rnacentral:rRNA from 1 species